rnacentral:rRNA from 1 species
GCGGGGGCAUGGCGGGAGCAAUCCGGCCAUGCUUCAGCGGCGGACGGGUGAGUAACGCGUGGGCAACCUGCCGGACACUGGGGGAUAACGCGGCGAAAGCCGCGGUAAUACCGCAUAAGACCACCAGGGCCGCAUGGUCCGGGGGUCAAAGGAGCAAUCCGGUGUCCGAUGGGCCCGCGUCCGAUUAGGUAGUUGGAGGGGUAACGGCCCCCCAAGCCAAUGAUCGGUAGCCGACCUGAGAGGGUGAUCGGCCACACUGGAACUGAGACACGGUCCAGACUCCUGCGGGAGGCAGCAGUGAGGAAUUUUGGGCAAUGGGCGUAAGCCUGACCCAGCGACGCCGCGUGGAGGAUGAAGGCCUUCGGGUCGUAAACUCCUGUUCUGGGGGAAGAAAACGGGAUGCGUGAAUAAUUCAUCCCGCUGACGGUACCCCAGGAGAAAGCUCCGGCUAAUUACGUGCCAGCAGCCGCGGUAAUACGUAAGGAGCAAGCGUUGUCCGGAUUUACUGGGCGUAAAGAGCUCGUAGGCGGCCGAUCAGGUCUCGCGUAAAAUCCCCCGGCUCAACCGGGGAGGGUCGCGGGAAACCGACCGGCUUGAGGACAGAAAAGGAAAGUGGAAUUCCCGGUGUAGCGGCGAAAUGCGUAGAUAUCGGGAGGAACACCAGUGGUGAAGACGGCUUUCUGGUCUGUUGCUGACGCUGAGGAGCGAAAGCCAGGGGAGCGAACCGGAUUAGAUACCCGGGUAGUCCUGGCCGUAAACGAUGGAUACUAGGUGUGGGGGGUUCGACCCCUUCCGUGCCGCAGCUAACGCAUUAAGUAUCCCGCCUGGGGAGUACGGCCGCAAGGUUGAAACUCAAAGGAAUUGACGGGGGCCCGCACAAGCGGUGGAGCAUGUGGUUUAAUUCGAUGCAACGCGAAGAACCUUACCAGGGUUUGACAUGCUGGUGGUAGAAGCCUGAAAGGGUGACGACCUUCGGUUUUCCGAGGGAGCCAGCACAGGUGCUGCAUGGUUGUCGUCAGCUCGUGUCGUGAGAUGUUGGGUUAAGUCCCGCAACGAGCGCAACCCUUACCCUUAGUUGCGACCAGGUUAUGCUUGAGCACUCUAAGGGGACUGCCGGUGACAAACCGGAGGAAGGUGGGGAUGACGUCAAAUCCGCAUGGCCCUUAUGUCCUGGGCGACACACGUGCUACAAUGGCCAGUACAGAGGGUUGCGAACCCGCGAGGGGGAGCCAAUCCCAAAAAGCUGGCCCCAGUUGGGAUUGCAGGCUGCAACUCGCCUGCAUGAACGCGGAAUCGCUAGUAAUCGCGUAUCAGCUACGGCGCGGUGAAUGCGUUCCCGGGCCUUGUACACACCGCCCGUCACACCACGAAAGUCGAUUUUACCUGAAGUCACUGAGCUAACGCGCAAGGGAGGCAGGUGCCGAAG